GCUAAUUCUAUAUUUGUUACACGCAAAGGUUAUAAAAAUGAUUGAAAUUUACAAGUUUGUUUAUGUUGUGAUCUUUUUUGUUUCUCUUUUUCUUGUUGUAGUCGACAGUGGAAAAAGGAUCGGUGGAGAAAAUAGACAUAGACAAUGUGUCGAUGACCACGACUGUUAUAAAAUAUUUUCUUGUCCUCGUGAAAUUGCAUUUAAGUGCGUUAAUGGUUGGUGUAAAUGCACGCUCUAGUUAAGUGUGGAGUUUGUUAGGCGACAAGCCAACGCGGUUGCUCAUGUACUUGCAAGAGAAGUCAUGUUCUAAGUUAGUUCCACUAUUUAUUAUGAUAUACUCGAAUGUAUUGAAUUCUUAAUUAUCAAUGAAAUGCUAUAAGCAUGUUUCCUUAAAAAAAAAAAAAAUGUUCAAUAUCAUGUUUUCUUAAAAAAAAUAAAAUUAACAAGCAACAAUUGAAUAUAUUAGUGUCAUA